AGAUCAAAUUGUUGGUCGUGCCUUGGUACGUACUGAUAUUAUUGAUUUCUCCCUUCUGAAGAACCAUGAUGUCAUUAAUUUGGUGUCAUGGGGAAUCAGGACUGUUACUUUGAAAAAAUUAGAGUGUUUAAAGCAGGCUCGCGCUUGAAUACAUUAGCAUGGAAUAAUGAAAUAGGACGUUUAAUUCUAUUUUGUUGGUUUCUAGGAUUGACGUAAU
rnacentral:rRNA from 1 species